AUUGAACGCUGGCGGCAGGCCUAACACAUGCAAGUCGAACGAGUGGCGGACGGGUGAGUAAUGUCUGGGAAACUGCCCGAUGGAGGGGGAUAACUACUGGAAACGGUAGCUAAUACCGCAUACCAUCGGAUGUGCCCAGAUGGGAGUAGCUUGUAGGUGCGGUAACGGCUCACCUAGGCGACGCUCCCUCGCUGGUCUGAGAGGAUGGCGAGCCACGCUGGAAUGGUGACAAGGGCAAGACUCCGACGGGAGGCAGCAGUGGAGAAUAUUGCACAGUGGGCGCAAGCAUGAUGCAGCAAUGCCGCGUGUAUGAAGAAGGCCGUCGGGUUGUAAAGUACUUUCAGCGGGGAGGCGUUACCCGCAGAAGAAGCACCGGCUAACUCCGUGCCAGCAGCGGCGGUAAGAC
rnacentral:rRNA from 1 species